CUCCUAAGGCCCCCAUGCCGCUGAGAAGUCUCUCACACUGCGGAUCUCUCACACGGCGAGUUCAACUCCCUGAAGGCAAUGCUUGGCUCCUGGUUCUGAGUGUAUUUGAUGAAGCCUACAAACUCUGAGGGGAAGAGAGCCUGCCCAGCAGAGGCCACUGCAUCAUGAAGCACCAGUGACCAGAACAAAAAUGAUGUGAUGUGCCAGAGCAGUGCCCAUCAGGCAGGGGACAUCUCCCUGAACUACAAAUACAAGCAUGGGCUGGGAAUCGGCUGAAAUUCCAAGACUCUGAAAAGCUGUAGAGACACAGAAUUGCACAUAGAUGGAGGUGGAGUUGGGGACAGUACUUCCGCGAUGGGCAUAAUCUUUUGGUCUCUCCUCUGCUUGUCCUGUUGAUGCCGUGAGAGAUGGUGACUGGAAGACCUGUUGACCCGUCUCCUGUGUGCAGUGGAAGAGUCUACGGAAAAAAAGGAUGGGGUAAUUUGUGUCUGAAGAUGAGGUGGCACCUUCUGGAAGGAGACGCACUGGACGGACCAACGCGGCCUCAGGAAAGUGACCGUCCGUGGUUCAGGCACAGAUCUGGCAAAUGUAAGACAGCCCAGAGCCACAGUCUCACGCCUGUACUCCUGAACCAAGAGAAGACGAGGAAGAGGAAAACACAGAAUCCCAGCCAAGAGUGAAGUGCCUGCAGGACAAGGGAAAUAGCCUCAACAGAGGCAGGUCCCCCAUUUCCGUCCCCUCUUGGACCAGUGUGCCCGGGACACGGGCUGGAGGGCCACACCACACAAGCUUCCUUUCGUUUUUUGGAGGUUGAAGUCUGUGAUCUAGAUGCUGGUGGGACUGGUCUCCUCCGAGGCCUCUGUGUCUGGUCUAUGGACGGCCACCCUCUUGCUGCCUCUUUGCUCCUGUCCCUUGGUGUUUCUCUUUAUCACAAGAACACCACCUAUACCAGGCUAAUGUCUACCCACUGCCUCACUCUAACCUAAUCACCUUCCUGAAAAUCCCAUAUUCCCAAACAGACAGCUUCCCGCAUGCCUACAUAAGCCUUUUUUUUUUUCCUUUACCUUAAUUACAUCUUUGUAGACACACAUUCUGGAGCACUAGGGUUGGGUCUUUAACAUGAACCUAGAGGACACAAUCUAGACCCCAUUGCUUUCUUGAUGCUGCUUUGAUACAUAAGGGCUGGUGAUGUAUCUGUGGUUCAUAGAUGUAGGCUGACUCUUAGGCGUAGCCUAAAGGAAGAGUUGUAGGAGAUGAGAGCCAUCUAGACAGAGAUGUUUGUCCACCUAGACAGAGAUGUUUCAGGCACUGAAAAUUGUAAGAAACUAGUUUUAUUUGGGCUGAACUAGUUUUUAACUUUUGUGGUGAACAUUUCAGACAGGCUUCACAUGGAGAAAAUAGUACAACUAUUUUCUAAUAGUACAACUGCCUGUGGUCCUUGACUUGGUUCAACAAUUGUGAUUCUGAACCUCUUGUUCCAUCCAUCCUUCUUUUUGCUUAA